rnacentral:rRNA from 1 species
CCUACGGGAGGCUGCAGUGGGGAAUAUUGGACAAUGGGCGAAAGCCUGAUCCAGCCAUGCCGCGUGUGUGAAGAAGGCCUUCGGGUUGUAAAGCACUUUCAGUGGGGAAGAAAGCCUUGGGGCUAAUACCCUCGAGGAAGGACAUCACCCACAGAAGAAGCACCGGCUAACUCCGUGCCAGCAGCCGCGGUAAUACGGAGGGUGCGAGCGUUAAUCGGAAUUACUGGGCGUAAAGCGCGCGUAGGCGGUCUGAUAAGCCGGUUGUGAAAGCCCCGGGCUCAACCUGGGAACGGCAUCCGGAACUGUCAGGCUAGAGUGCAGGAGAGGAAGGUAGAAUUCCCGGUGUAGCGGUGAAAUGCGUAAAGAUCGGGAGGAAUACCAGUGGCGAAGGCGGCCUUCUGGACUGACACUGACGCUGAGGUGCGAAAGCGUGGGUAGCAAACAGGAUUAGAUACCCGGGUAGUC